rnacentral:rRNA from 4 species
GCACGAGCGCACCCUCGUUUUUAGUUGCCAUCAUUAAGUUGGGCACUCUAGAGAGACUGCCGGUGACAAACCGGAGGAAGGUGGGGAUGACGUCAAGUCAUCAUGCCCCUUACGCCUUGGGCUACACACGUACUACAAUGGCCGGGACAAAGAGUCGCAAGCAUGCGAAUGCAAGCUAAUCUCAUAAACCCGGUCUUAGUUCAGAUUGCAGGCUGCAACUCGCCUGCAUGAAGGCGGAAUCGCUAGUAAUCGCAGGUCAGCAUACUGCGGUGAAUACGUUCCCGGGCCUUGUACACACCGCCCGUCACACCAUGGAAGCUGGUCACGCCCGAAGUCGUUAUCUCAACCCGCAAGGGAGGGAGGCGCCUAAGGCAGGGCUGGUGACUGGGGUGAAGUCGUAACAAGGUAGCCGUACCGGAAGGUGCGGCUGGAUCACCUCCUUA